rnacentral:lncRNA from 1 species
UGUAAUCCAUCUUGAUAAAUUGACAUGAAUAACUUAACUAUAUAUAAUAAUAGUUUUCAUCUUUUUUACUAUCUUAAAAUUCUAACAUCAUUCCUUUUAAGUGACUAUCAUAAAAAUUGAUGUGCGUAGACUAGAAAGAAUUUGCUGAGAAAGAGAACAAGUGAGAUUUGCAUUGGAAAUGGUUAGAUUAAAACAUGGACAUGUGGGCAAAUAUAAUGGAAAAUUUAGGUAGAAAGCCACGAGAUUGUUUUUAUGUGGAGAAAUCGUAUAGGAUAGUCACGAUAUCUUAAUUCGUUAAUCUUUCUUGUAGAAAUCGUGUAACCAUAUGUGACCUUUUUUAACAUGACUUAGAC